AUUUCAGGUCUGACCUGCCCAAUGAGAGUUUGAAUGGCCGCAGUAUAUUGACUGUGCUAAGGUAGCAUAAUCAUUAGUUUUUUAAUUGAGAACUGGAAUGAAAGGUUUGAUGAGAAGAUUUCUGUCUUAUAAAAAUUUAAUAGAAUUUUAUUUUUAAGUUAAAAAGCUUAAAUAAACAUGGAAGACGAGAAGACCCUAUAGAGUUUUAUAUUUAUAGAAAAUUUAAUUUUUUGGAAAAAGAAAGUUUUAAGGUUUGUAUAAAUAUUUUGUUGGGGUGACAGAAAAAUUUAAUUAACUUUUUUUUAAUUAAAACAUUGAUAUGUGAAUAAGUGAUCCUAGGAUUUAGAUUACAAGAUUAAAUUACCUUAGGGAUAACAGCGUAAUUUUUUUAAGAGUUCUUAUCGGAAAAAAAGUUUGCGACCUCGAUGUUGGAUUAAAAUUAAUUUUUGGUGAAGAAGCUAGAAAAUUAGGUCUGUUCGACCUUUAAAAUUUUACAUGAUCUGAGUUUAACCGGUGAGCCAGUUGGUUUUUUCU
rnacentral:rRNA from 1 species